rnacentral:lncRNA from 1 species
CUCGCUUUCUCUCCCUCUCCCCCAAUCAACAGCGCAUAGACGUUAAUCCACGAUAGCAAUAACAAAUAAUGAAAUUGGGAAAAUAAGUUGCAACAUGGUAGAAAGAAAAUAUUUUUUCUGAAAAUAAACCACAGUCCGCUUUGUAUUGCAAAACAGCACCGUGUCAACAGUGUUAGGCGUCCAACACUCCGCGCCAAGGUCUCUGGGCUCUGGUGGAGAAAAACAUGCUGGUCGGAAGAUUGCCAUGGGAGAUUGGAACAGAGACUGUGCUACAGAAUCUGAUUCCACCAACAUGCACUACCAACCACUGGCUCUGCACAAUAUGAAGUUAAGUUGGCCAAAUAUUUACAAGCUGCUGGCUAAGACAGCUCAAUUUAGAGUAAGCAUGGUAUAAGC